UACGGAGGGGGCUAGCGUUGUUCGGAAUUACUGGGCGUAAAGCGCGCGUAGGCGGCUAUUUAAGUCAGGGGUGAAAGCCCCGGAGCUCAACUCCGGAACUGCCUUUGAGACUGGAUAGCUAGAAUCUUGGAGAGGCGAGUGGAAUUCCGAGUGUAGAGGUGAAAUUCGUAGAUAUUCGGAAGAACACCAGUGGCGAAGGCGGCUCGCUGGACAAGUAUUGACGCUGAGGUGCGAAAGCGUGGGGAGCAAACAGG
rnacentral:rRNA from 1 species